AGUAAAUAGAUACCCAGGUAGUCCACGCCGUAAACGAUGGAUGCUAGCUGUUAUGAGUAUCGACCCUUGUAGUAGCGAAAGCUAACGCGUUAAGCAUCCCGCCUGUGGAGUACGGUCGCAAGACUAAAACAUAAAGGAAUUGACGGGGACCCGCACAAGCGGUGGAGCGUGUUCUUUAAUUCGAAGGUAAGCGAAGAACCUUACCAGGGCUUGACAUCCUUGGAAUUUCUCCGAAAGGAGAGAGUACUUUAUGGACCAAGUGACAGGUGUUGCAUGGCCGUCGUCAGCUCGUGUCGUGAGAUGUUUGGUUAAGUCCAUCAACGAGCGCAACCCUUGUGAAUAGUUGGAUUUUCUAUUCAGACUGCCCCGGUAACGGGGUAGGAAGGAGGGGUAUGAUGUCAGGUCAUUAUUACCCUUACGUCCU
rnacentral:rRNA from 1 species